CUAAGCAUAUCAAUAAGCGGAGGAAAAGAAACCAACAGGGAUUGCCCUAGUAACGGCGAGUGAAGCGGCAACAGCUCAAAUUUGAAAUCUGGCCCUCGGGUCCGAGUUGUAAUUUGUAGAGGAUGCUUUUGGUGCAGUGCCUUCCGAGUUCCUUGGAACAGGACGCCUUAGAGGGUGAGAGCCCCGUACGGUUGGACACUAAGCCUCUGUAAAGCUCCUUCGACGAGUCGAGUAGUUUGGGAAUGCUGCUCUAAAUGGGAGGUAAAUUUCUUCUAAAGCUAAAUACCGGCCAGAGACCGAUAGCGCACAAGUAGAGUGAUCGAAAGAUGAAAAGUACUUUGAAAAGAGGGUUAAAUAGCACGUGAAAUUGUUGAAAGGGAAGCGUUUAUGACCAGACCUUUGUCUGGCGGAUCAUCCGGUGUUCUUCACCGGUGCACUUCGCCAGGCUCAGGCCAGCAUCGAUUUCUGUAGGGGGAUAAAAACCAUGGGAACGUAGCUCUCUCCGGGGAGUGUUAUAGCCCUAGGUACAAUACCUUUACGGGGAUCGAGGUUCGCGCUUCUGCAAGGAUGCUGGCGUAAUGGUCAUCAACGACCCGUCUUGAAACACGGACCAAGGAGUCGAACAUUUAUGCGAGUGUUUGGGUGUUAAACCCUCACGCGUAAUGAAAGUGAACGGAGGUGAGAGCCCGUACGGGUGCAUCAUCGACCGAUCCUGAUGUCUUCGGAUGGAUUUGAGUAAGAGCAUAACUGUUCGGACCCGAAAGAUGGUGAACUAUGCGUGGAUAGGGUGAAGCCAGAGGAAACUCUGGUGGAGGCUCGCAGCGGUUCUGACGUGCAAAUCGAUCGUCAAAUCUGCGCAUGGGGGCGAAAGACUUAUCGAACCAUCUAGUAGCUGGUUACCGC
rnacentral:rRNA from 1 species